UCUGCCCCUAGAAGCUUUGUAAGUGUGGCCACUGUGUCCCAUGUGUGUCAGUAGGUGGCAGAGAGGAGAGUGGCUAUGUCUACACUCAGUGUUCUGACCUGUGAACAUCUGAUUGAUCCAUAGCCUAACAUU